rnacentral:rRNA from 1 species
CCUACGGGUGGCAGCAGUGGGGAAUAUUGCGCAAUGGGCGCAAGCCUGACGCAGCGACGCCGCGUGAAGGAUGAAGGUCUUCGGGUCGUAAACCUCUUUCAGCAGGGAAGAACGGUCACUGUGCUAAUCAUCAGUGUAUUGACGGUACCUGCAAAGGUAGCACCGGCUAACUCCGUGCCAGCAGCCGCGGUAAUACGGAGGGUGCGAGCGUUGAUCGGAAUUACUGGGCGUAAAGCGCGCGUAGGCGGUAUGUCAAGUCAAUGGUGAAAGCCUAGGGCUCAACGUGAGAACUGCAUUUGAUACUGGCAGACUGGAGUGUGUGAGAGGAUAGCGGAAUUCCAGGUGUAGGGGUGAAAUGCGUAGAUAUCAGGAGGAACACCGGUGGCGAAGGCGACUAUCUGGCACACAACUGACGCUGAGGCGCGAAAGCGUGGGUAGCAAACAGGAUUAGAUACCCGGGUAGUC